AAGCCACCUUUGAGGACCCAUGGCCAGGUUUGUAGUAUUCCCAAUAACAGGAUCUGGACCUUCAUAUUCUGGGUCCUGUAUGUAAC